GUGUUAUCAUAACUUUUUGUACACAUUUGGUGUAAUUAAAUUAAAUACAAUAAUAAUCCACACUGUUUGUUUGUAACUUUUGACUCCGUGUGUGUAUAUGUAUGCAUGUGUCAUAAAUAUAACGUGUCGUCAAUGUGAAGGGAGAACUAUAAAAAAACACAAUACUAGUCAC
rnacentral:ribozyme from 15 species